rnacentral:ncRNA from 2 species
UUGUGCAAAUUGAAUAUUUUCCGUAUAUGCUUGGGAAUUGGCCUGAGCGUUUCUACCCGGCAACCGUAAUUGCUGGACUACGGAGGGAAAGUGUACCUAG